UACGAAGGGGGCUAGCGUUGUUCGGAAUUACUGGGCGUAAAGCGCACGUAGGCGGAUUGUUAAGUCGGGGGUGAAAUCCUGAGGCUCAACCUCAGAACUGCCUUCGAUACUGGCGAUCUUGAGUUCGGAAGAGGUCGGUGGAACAGCUAGUGUAGAGGUGAAAUUCGUAGAUAUUAGCUAGAACACCAGUGGCGAAGGCGGCCAACUGGUCCGACACUGACGCUGAGGUGCGAAAGCGUGGGGAGCAAACAGG
rnacentral:rRNA from 1 species